rnacentral:rRNA from 1 species
UACAGAGGUCCCAAGCGUUGUUCGGAUUCACUGGGCUUAAAGGGCGCGUAGGCGGGCAUCCAAGUCUGUGGUGAAAUCCGGCAGCUCAACUGUCGAACUGCCGCGGAUACUGGGUGUCUCGAGGGAGGUAGGGGCGCGCGGAACUAUUGGUGGAGCGGUGAAAUGCGUUGAUAUCAAUAGGAACUCCGGUGGCGAAGGCGGCGCGCUGGACCUCUUCUGACGCUGAGGCGCGAAAGCCAGGGGAGCAAACGGG